AUUGAACGCUGGCGGCAUGCCUUACACAUGCAAGUCGAACGGUAACAGGUCUUGGAUGCUGACGAGUGGCGAACGGGUGAGUAAUACAUCGGAACGUGCCCGAUCGUGGGGGAUAACGAGGCGAAAGCUUUGCUAAUACCGCAUACGAUCUACGGAUGAAAGCGGGGGAUCUUCGGACCUCGCGCGGACGGAGCGGCCGAUGGCAGAUUAGGUAGUUGGUGGGAUAAAAGCUUACCAAGCCGACGAUCUGUAGCUGGUCUGAGAGGAUGAUCAGCCACACUGGGACUGAGACACGGCCCAGACUCCUACGGGAGGCAGCAGUGGGGAAUUUUGGACAAUGGGCGAAAGCCUGAUCCAGCCAUGCCGCGUGCA
rnacentral:rRNA from 1 species